rnacentral:rRNA from 1 species
CACGCCGUAAACGUUGGGCGCUAGGUGUGGGGGCCAUUCCACGGUCUCUGUGCCGUAGCUAACGCAUUAAGCGCCCCGCCUGGGGAGUACGGCCGCAAGGCUAAAACUCAAAGGAAUUGACGGGGGCCCGCACAAGCGGCGGAGCAUGUGGAUUAAUUCGAUGCAACGCGAAGAACCUUACCUGGGUUUGACAUGCGCCAGACGCUGGUAGAGAUAUCAGUUCCCUUGUGGUUGGUGUGCAGGUGG